GACGAACCGAGCGAACGUUAUUCGGAAUCACUGGGCUUAAAGGGCGCGUAGGCGGGCCGCCAAGUCGAGGGUGAAAGCCCCCAGCUCAACUGGGGAAGUGCCUCCGAUACUGGCGGCCUCGAGGGAGAUAGGGGCGUGCGGAACUUCCGGUGGAGCGGUGAAAUGCGUAGAGAUCGGAAAGAACACCAACGGCGAAAGCACUCUGCUGGGCCGACACUGACACUGAGAGACGAAAGCUAGGGGAGCGAAUGGG
rnacentral:rRNA from 1 species